rnacentral:lncRNA from 1 species
CCUUAGAGGUUACAUGACCGAUGACAUAGAUGACAUUGGUUCAAAAGCAACGACAGCAUCCAAAAGCGGGGCACGAUCAAUCAAUCUCAUGGGAACAUUUUCAUUUCUUGUUUCGAAAAGGAAGUUAUGCCCAAAUAAUUUCCUGUCAAUGAGUAGAACCAGCUCACCUCUCCAUCUUCCUCCAACUCGCUUAUCCCGGUGGAAAUGGCGAGGAUGGGCCAGUUGGGGAGAAGAUGAAGAAGUGGCACCGACGCCAUGGUCGUACGUGCAUGUACCAGCCUAAGUGUGGCACUGGCACAAUGAAGCAGCCGACGUUGAACCAAUCUUUGUCAUCCUGACCCCCCAGCUGCUUGUUGCUUUCCAUCCCGCUGAACAUACUCGACAAUGCAAUGACACUUGAAAUUCUGAAAGAUUGAGAAAAUAUAGGCUAGGUGUAAUGAGCUAUGAUACUAAAACCACCAACGAGUGCACGCACUUGAGUCCGUCGACGCGGCCUUGGUAUUCUUGGUGGUGACCUCCUUAGCUUUUCUUAGCAAUGACAGGAUCCCAUUCAAUGUCUCAGAUUCAGAUGGAAGGCCAGCACUGAUGUUGCUAUUUACUCUUUGUAGGAACACAUAUUUAGAUCUAGACGGAAAAAAUAGCAAGGACAUACUGGAGGUGUCACCUUUUGUUAGCACCAACUACAUUCUCAUUGGUAUCGAUUGUUUCAUCCCGUUCACCAAUCUUCUGCUUGUCAUAGUUGUGCCCAACUCUUUAACAUAGGAGUGACAGAGGAAUUAGUGCAUAUGAAAUUUAGGUGAAUCACUAUGUAUGCAACAUAGGUGAAUUUACUGCCGAUGAAUUUUGUCAAGUGUCAUCCUGAGUGAAUAAAU